CGGGUGAGUAACACGUGGAUAACCUACCUAUAAGACUGGGAUAACUUCGUGAAACCGGAGCUAAUACCGGAUAAUAUUUUGAACCGCAUGGUUCAAAAGUGAAAGACGGUCUUGCUGUCACUUAUAGAUGGAUCCGCGCUGCAUUAGCUAGUUGGUAAGGUAACGGCUUACCAAGGCAACGAUGCAUAGCCGACCUGAGAGGGUGAUCGGCCACACUGUAACUGAGACACGGUCCAG
rnacentral:rRNA from 1 species